AGACCCGAAACCCGGUGAUCUAGCCAUGGGCAGGUUGAAGGUUGGGUAACACUAACUGGAGGACCGAACCGACUAAUGUUGAAAAAUUAGCGGAUGACCUGUGGCUGGGGGUGAAAGGCCAAUCAAACCGGGAGAUAGCUGGUUCUCCCCGAAAGCUAUUUAGGUAGCGCCUCGUGAAUUCAUCUCCGGGGGUAGAGCACUGUUUCGGCUAGGGGGCCAUCCCGGCUUACCAACCCGAUGCAAACUGCGAAUACCGGAGAAUGUUAUCACGGGAGACACACGGCGGGUGCUAACGUCCGUCGUGAAGAGGGAAACAACCCAGACCGCCAGCUAAGGUCCCAAAGUCAUGGUUAAGUGGGAAACGAUGUGGGAAGGCCCAGACAGCCAGGAUGUUGGCUUAGAAGCAGCCAUCAUUUAAAGAAAGCGUAAUAGCUCACUGGUCGAGUCGGCCUGCGCGGAAGAUGUAACGGGGCUAAACCAUGCACCGAAGCUGCGGCAGCGAACGUAUCACCCAAGACAACUUUACGGAGUUGACGAUUGACGGAGCGAAGCGACGUCAAAGCGUUCAUUAAAGUCGAGUUGGCUUAGGGAUACGUUCGUUGGGUAGGGGAGCGUUCUGUAAGCCUGUGAAGGUGUGUCGUGAGGCAUGCUGGAGGUAUCAGAAGUGCGAAUGCUGACAUAAGUAACGAUAAAGCGGGUGAAAAGCCCGCUCGCCGGAAGACCAAGGGUUCCUGUCCAACGUUAAUCGGGGCAGGGUGAGUCGACCCCUAAGGCGAGGCCGAAAGGCGUAGUCGAUGGGAAACGGGUUAAUAUUCCCGUACUUGGUGUUACUGCGAAGGGGGGACGGAGAAGGCUAUGUUGGCCGGGCGACGGUUGUCCCGGUUUAAGCGUGUAGGUGUGUGUUCCAGGUAAAUCCGGUUCACUUUAACACUGAGGCGUGACGACGAGGCACUACGGUGCUGAAGCAACAAAUGCCCUGCUUCCAGGAAAAGCCUCUAAGCAUCAGGUAACACGAAAUCGUACCCCAAACCGACACAGGUGGUCAGGUAGAGAAUACCAAGGCGCUUGAGAGAACUCGGGUGAAGGAACUAGGCAAAAUGGUGCCGUAACUUCGGGAGAAGGCACGCUGACACGUAGGUGAAGUGAUUUACUCAUGGAGCUGAAGUCAGUCGAAGAUACCAGCUGGCUGCAACUGUUUAUUAAAAACACAGCACUGUGCAAACACGAAAGUGGACGUAUACGGUGUGACGCCUGCCCGGUGCCGGAAGGUUAAUUGAUGGGGUCAGCGCAAGCGAAGCUCCUGAUCGAAGCCCCGGUAAACGGCGGCCGUAACUAUAACGGUCCUAAGGUAGCGAAAUUCCUUGUCGGGUAAGUUCCGACCUGCACGAAUGGCGUAAUGAUGGCCAGGCUGUCUCCACCCGAGACUCAGUGAAAUUGAACUCGCUGUGAAGAUGCAGUGUACCCGCGGCAAGACGGAAAGACCCCGUGAACCUUUACUAUAGCUUGACACUGAACAUUGAGCCUUGAUGUGUAGGAUAGGUGGGAGGCUUUGAAGUGUGGACGCCAGUCUGCAUGGAGCCGACCUUGAAAUACCACCCUUUAAUGUUUGAUGUUCUAACGUGGACCCGUAAUCCGGGUUGCGGACAGUGUCUGGUGGGUAGUUUGACUGGGGCGGUCUCCUCCUAAAGAGUAACGGAGGAGCACGAAGGUUGGCUAAUCCUGGUCGGACAUCAGGAGGUUAGUGCAAUGGCAUAAGCCAGCUUGACUGCGAGCGUGACGGCGCGAGCAGGUGCGAAAGCAGGUCAUAGUGAUCCGGUGGUUCUGAAUGGAAGGGCCAUCGCUCAACGGAUAAAAGGUACUCCGGGGAUAACAGGCUGAUACCGCCCAAGAGUUCAUAUCGACGGCGGUGUUUGGCACCUCGAUGUCGGCUCAUCACAUCCUGGGGCUGAAGUAGGUCCCAAGGGUAUGGCUGUUCGCCAUUUAAAGUGGUACGCGAGCUGGGUUUAGAACGUCGUGAGACAGUUCGGUCCCUAUCUGCCGUGGGCGCUGGAGAACUGAGGGGGGCUGCUCCUAGUACGAGAGGACCGGAGUGGACGCAUCACUGGUGUUCGGGUUGUCAUGCCAAUGGCACUGCCCGGUAGCUAAAUGCGGAAGAGAUAAGUGCUGAAAGCAUCUAAGCACGAAACUUGCCCCGA
rnacentral:rRNA from 4 species